GCAUAUCAAUAAGCGGAGGAAAAGAAACCAACAGGGAUUACCUCAGUAACGGCGAGUGAAGCGGUAAAAGCUCAAAUUUGAAAUCUGGCUCUUUUAGAGUCCGAGUUGUAAUUUGUAGAAGAUGCUUCGGGUGUGGUUCCGGUCUAAGUUCUUUGGAACAGGACGUCAUAGAGGGUGAGAACCCCGUAUGUGACUGGAUACCUAUGCUCAUGUGAAGCUCUUUCGACGAGUCGAGUUGUUUGGGAAUGCAGCUCAAAAUGGGUGGUAUAUUUCAUCUAAAGCUAAAUAUUGGCCAGAGACCGAUAGCGCACAAGUAGAGUGAUCGAAAGAUGAAAAGCACUUUGGAAAGAGAGUUAAACAGUACGUGAAAUUGUUGAAAGGGAAGCGCUUGCAAUCAGACUUGCACUUGGUGUUCAUCAGGGGUUCUUCCCCUGUGUACUUCAUCAAGUUCAGGCCAGCAUCAGUUUGAGUGGUUAGAUAAAGGCUUAGAGAACGUGGCCCUCUUCGGGGGGUGUUAUAGCUCUAGGUGCAAUGUAGCCUACUUGGACUGAGGACCGCGCUUCGGCUAGGAUGCUGGCGUAAUGGUUGUAAGCGACCCGUCUUGAAACACGGACCAAGGAGUGUACCUAAUAUGCGAGUGUUUGGGUGUUAAACCCAUACGCGUAAUGAAAGUGAACGGAGGUGAGAACCCUUAAGGGUGCAUCAUCGACCGAUCCUGAUGUCUUCGGAUGGAUUUGAGUAAGAGCAUAUUGGGUGCGACCCGAAAGAUGGUGAUCUUUACGUGAAUAGGGUGAAGCCAGAGGAAACUCUGGUGGAGGCUCGCAGCGGUUCUGACGUGCAAAUCGAUCGUCAAAUUUGCGUAAAGGGGCGAAAGACUAAUCGAACCAUCUAGUAGCUGGUUCCUGCGA
rnacentral:rRNA from 1 species